rnacentral:rRNA from 1 species
GACGAACGCUGGCGGCGUGCUUAACACAUGCAAGUCGAACGGGCCUGUCUUCUUUUUUGGGGGUGGGUUGAGUGGCGAACGGGGGAGUAUCACGUGAGUAACCUGCCCUUCGGUCCUGGAUAACCGCUUGAAAGGGCGGCUAAUACGGGGUGGUCCGGUUGGUCCGCAUGGGCUGGUCGGGAUAGAUUCACUGUUUUUGGUGUUUCGGCGGGGGAUGGGCUCGCGGCCUAUCAGCUUGUUGGUGGGGUGAUGGCCUACCAAGGCGGUGACGGGUAGCCGGCCUGAGAGGGUGUGAGGCCACACUGGGACUGAGAUACGGCCCAGACUCCUGCGGGAGGCAGCAGUGGGGGGUAUUGCACAAUGGGCGGAAGCCUGAUGCAGCGACGUCGCGUGAGGGAUGGAGGCCUUCGGGUUGUGAACCUCUGUUUCCGGUGGUGAAGGCCCUGUCCGUGUGGUGGGGUUGACGGUAGCCGGGGAUGAAGCGCCGGCUAACUACGUG